UUUAGGGAGACCUACCCUUGAUAACUCCGAACCACACUGAAUUAGGAGUAUUGAGUGGUCACUCUAGGUCGGUCAGGGCUUUGAGUAGAGUUUCUAGACUAUGGUUGAGGUUUAUUUCUCACCUUUUGCUCUUGAUAGAGAAGGGUAGAGGAACAAAACCCGGGCUAUUAGCUCAGGUGGUUAGAGCGCACCCCUGAUAAGGGUGAGGUCCCUGGUUCGAGUCCAGGAUGGCCCACUGCGUGGGGGUUUAGCUCAGCUGGUAGAGCGCCUGCUUUGCAAGCAGGAUGUCAGCGGUUCGAGUCCGCUAACCUCCACCACGAAAGCAUGGGAUUGAAUUCAGCACGGUGUGUUUUGGUGAUAGCCAAGGCAUAGUCUGCUGGGUGAGAACCUAGCAAAGAACCUUGAAAACUGAAUACGAGAGAAGUGUAAGGUAGUACACACAGAACAUUCAAAGUUCGUUGAGAGAAGAGUGAACUUGAUUAGUUUUGAUUAACUAAUCGAGAGAA
rnacentral:tRNA from 1 species